GCCUCCCUUCUGAGGAGACGGCGCGGCUGCAACCGGCUGGGGCUCCGCUCCCCAGCUCGCGGGUCCUUCCCGACGAAGUCCCUGCGCGGCCCGACCCAGUGCUUCUAAUGUGAGGAAAAACACGGAAUGACAAGUGUGGGAAAGAGCAAGCACUAAAUUACUGUCAGAAAAAUAAACGGAGUAGCACAGUGGUGCUCAGUGAUUUACGGGGGCAAUUAGUCACCACCCCACGGCGCUGCUGAGGACAGCACGGCAGCAGACGCGUCAGGCCUGCGAGGAAGAAGAGGCUUUGCACUGCUCUCCAGACAACUUUUCAAACAAGAGAGGAUAUUUGAGUACAUUAGGUUCCAUGUCUUCAUUCUGGGUGCCCACCCUUCACAUUAUCCAGCCAACCUAAUACAUAAACGUAUUUUUAACACAAUAUUAACCUGUUCUGUGUGUGUUAAAAAGACUCCCAACUGCAGCUUUUUUCUCUCCCACUGUCUAAAGUAGGUUUUCCCCAUUCCUUAAAUGAAACAAACAAAUAAAAAAACCUUUCCCUGCUCCCAAAUUGUCCUCCUGAUGUGUGCCUUCAGUCUGUCUCAUUUCUUCUUGCAUCUUGCUAUCAUGUUCUAUAUUUGCUUUGAGCCACUGGGUGCAAAGGAAUUUGGUCUCUAGCUCUUCUGGGGAAGUUUUAGUGAGCUGGCACAAAGAGGUGGUGAAUGAGGCUGCAAAACUCAGGGUAAAUGAGAAAGAUAUAUAAACUUCCUGAUAUUUGUUACCAUGUUCUUUAACAUACUAUAUUCGGUGCCUAUGUAUAUGCAUAUAGCAAAAUAAACCUGCUAAGAUAUGA